rfam:Lupinus angustifolius cultivar Tanjil contig_37016, whole genome shotgun sequence.
GAGCCAUGCAAUAAGCACAAAGCGAACUAUUCUUUCGCCUUUUACUAAAGAAUACCGUGUGUUUGUUGCUUAAGUGGCAUACGCUUAUUUUUGGGAGGUGAUCUUUCAAUGAAAGGUC